rnacentral:ncRNA from 1 species
UGUCUAAUUAAAACAGAGGAGACGGAUGGUCCUUGUGGACGUUGACCGUGUCUGAUUUCUGCCCAGUGCUCUGAAUGUUAAGCCAAGGAACUUGAUUAAGCGCGGGUCUAUAACUUCGUAUAAUGUAU